rnacentral:rRNA from 1 species
GACGAACGCUGGCGGCGUGCUUAACACAUGCAAGUCGAACGGAAAGGCCCUGCUUUUGUGGGGUGCUCGAGUGGCGAACGGGUGAGUAACACGUGAGUAACCUGCCCUUGACUUUGGGAUAACUUCAGGAAACUGGGGCUAAUACCGGAUAGGAGCUCCUGCUGCAUGGUGGGGGUUGGAAAGUUUCGGCGGUUGGGGAUGGACUCGCGGCUUAUCAGCUUGUUGGUGGGGUAGUGGCUUACCAAGGCUUUGACGGGUAGCCGGCCUGAGAGGGUGACCGGCCACAUUGGGCCUGAGAGACGGCGCAGACUCCUACGGGAGGCAGCAGUGGGGAGUAUUGCACAGUGGGCGGAAGCCUGAUGCAGCAGCGCCGCGUGCGGGAUGACGGCCUUCGGGUUGUAAACCGCUUUCGCCUGUGACGAAGCGUGAGUGACGGUAAUGGGUAAAGAAGCACCGGCUAACUACGUG